rnacentral:lncRNA from 1 species
UCCAGCCCCAUAAGUAAAUCUUAAAAUAUAUAUAUAUAUAUAUAUAUAUAUAUAUAUAUAUAUAUAUAUAUAUAUAUAUAUAUAGAUAUAGCCUCUAUGUCUAGAUUUGUCAACCACAAGUACUAUACCCAGUGAAUUGCACAGGACUAGCUAUGUUAAAAAAAAAAAGUUGUCUGGUUCAUUUGUCUUGAAUGUAUUCUAUAUUCCUAAGAGGCAUAAAAUGCUGAUUUGUGGGAUAAUGAAAAGGGAACCUGUGGUAAAUGAUUGAAUCAAUAUGCAAGUAAAAUACUGGGCUUUGGUCUGCAAGGGAAAGCUACUGAGAGAGCUGUUACAGUUCUCUGGCAAUUUUUUCUAACAGGUUUUCUGUCUUCUGCCAGGAAACCCAAAGCUAUCUGAAGAGCUAUUGCAGCUCUUUUAGAAUUGUUUCUAGCAGGUUUUCUGACUUUGGUUAGAAAAUGCAAGAGCUGUCUUAAACAGAGAGCUAUCACAAGCCGACUACCGAGCUACCAGCUUGCACCCAUCACUGACGUGGAGUCCUUCCUUCUGCUCCUCCCAAAUACCCCUUCCUCUGGACCCCCCUAUGCAAGCUGAGUCUGGUCCUUGGCAGAAGACUGUUAGAAAGAAUGGAAUGUGUUAGAAAGAAUGGAGGUGUGUCCUGGUUGUAUUGGCACAGUUCUUUAGACCAUUUAUGGAGUGACUAGAUCUGGGUCUUUACCAGGUCAGACUCAUUGAUGUAAUUAAUAGUAGCAUCCUUUUCCCCAGGAACGUGCAGGUGUCACCCUUAUUAGUCAUGAGGCUGUUAAGGGCCCUCUAGUUUUAUAGGGCCAUUGAAAUUAAAAGAAUCUUAUUCAGUUAGCACUAUUGUUGUAAUUUGUACUGAAACCCAUAGUAGACUUAUACUCGGGAAACAAUUAAAAUCUGAUUAGUAUUAAAGCUC